UACGAGGGGGGCUAGUGUUGUUCGGAAUCACUGGGCGUAAAGGGAGCGUAGGCGGGAGCCUAAGUUGGGUGUUUAAUUCCGGGGCCCAACCCCGGGCAUGCACUCAAAACUGGGCUUCUUGAAUAGGGGAGAGGUCGGUGGAAUUGGAGGUGUAGCGGUGGAAUGCGUAGAGAUCUCCAAGAACACCCGUUGCGAAGGCGGCCGACUGGACCCAUAUUGACGCUGAGGCUCGAAAGCAUGGGGAGCAAACAGG
rnacentral:rRNA from 1 species